AUAAAAGGAAACCCAGAGAUGAGAAGUUAAAAUUUGUCUACUUUCCAUAGAAAAUUAAGCUUUAAAAUUUCAGUUGAUUUGGUAUCAAAUAUUCCGAUUUUACUUUUGGGUUUUUCAGAUUUCCCUAAAGUGGUACAAUGAAGAUAUAUAUCAAGACAUUAAAGGGAAAGAGUGUAAACGUAGAGGUUGAAGAUAGCUCCAACGCUAUCGACCUCAAGAUCCAUGGGGAGCCGAUUCGUGAAUUGGUUUUGCGACUUGUUCCAGGUCCCGGUUGGGAUGCAGCAGCCAUGACAAUUUAUGUAAAGACUCUAUCGGGCAGGACCAUUACCCUCGAGGCUAAGGGGUCUGAUACCAUUGGAGAAGUCAAGGCAAAGUAUGAGGAGAUUGAUGGCACUCCAGUGCAGCAGCAGAGGCUAAUAUUUCGUGGUAGAGAGCUCCAGAACGGUCGCACCGUAGCUGAAUACGAUAUCACACAUGAGUCGACCCUUCACAUAGCAAGUCGUCUUUGUGGUUGCUAAAUUAUCUCUCUCUUUUUUUUUUUUUUUAUCCAACAUUUAUUUUAUCGAUAUCAUCAGACAGAAAUCGAGAAGACAUCUCAUCCAAAAAUCAUUUCUACUUAUCAAAUUUCUCUUGUAGAAGAUGGUUCGAUCUCAAGUCAACCGGAGCUGAGUUAUUGAGCUUCGAGAAGUUAGGCCCAAUCACUCGAGCCAGACAGAAGCUGGGUCAGGAAAUUGGUAGGCCCAAGUGACCGUUUGGUCAAACAUAUAAGAGCACGAGAAACGGAUAAGGUUCCUUUGUAACAAACUUUUAUCUUCUUCUUUCUCUGUUGUACUCUCGAUCAAUCACCAUUGACGAGAACUCUAAGCUUCUGUAAAACAACUCCGAGCCAUAGUGAAUUCCGGGAAUAAUCUUGAAGAGAGAUGUACCCUGGUUAAUAGGGGAACUCUAUAAACUUGCGUGUCGUAGUCUUUCUUUUCUCAUUGCUUACCAUCUUAAUCUGUGAGUCGCGACACAUCUUGAGAGAUACGAGCUGUGAGAGAGCGAGAUUGUACGAAUGAUCAAGCGGGAAGGAUUGAGCUGGAUCUGCAACAAUUGGUAUCAGAGCCAGGUUGAAGACGAUCGGUGCAGAUUCAAACGGAGUUCACAAAGUCAUCGGUAAAGAAACUUACGAAGAUCGGAGAAGAAGGAGAACGCAUCGGAGCUUCACGGAUCACUGGUGAAACUCCAGAGCGUACCUGGAAAAGUUGUUCGAACAAGCUCGGAUUAAAGGAGCUCAGGGAGUAUCUCUAAAACAAACCGCUAGAAAACUACUUAGAUCAUACCGUGCAAAACUCUUUCGGAUAUCUUGAAUCUUGAAUUGCAUAGCAAACUCUUAGGUUAUCGGAAAUCUUCGUGAUACUUCUGACUUGGGGUUAUCUUUUGGUUGUUUACCUACAGGUACACAUAACAGAUAACGAGAAUCACAAAGAUGGAGCCUACACCAGGCAAGUUUCAGAUGGAUAAGUUCGAUGGGAAGGGUGACUUUGGUAUGUGGAAGUAUAAGCUACAGGGUCAGUUAGAGAUACAGGGUCUACUGUCUGUCCUUCAAGAAGUUCCUACGUCAACGAUGGAAAAAGGAAAGGACAGUGAUGACUCAGAGGAAAAGGUAGAUCCAAAACGGGCUGAGAAGGACUUACGGGUGCGGAGUCUUCUAGGAAUAUGCCUGUCAGAUACUAUCUUGCGGAAGAUAAUGAACGAAGCGACGGCAUUGGACAUGUGGAAAACUCUCGAAAGAGAUUAUCAAACCAAGUCGCUACCGAACAGGAUCUAUCUGAAACAACAGUUCGCUAGCUACAAAAUGGAUGAGAGCAAGACCAUUGAAGAAAAUCUAGACACAUUCUUAAGACUAAUAGCUGACCUGGCUAGUCUUGACAUAAAGAUCCUGGAUGAGGACCAAGCAAUUCAGGUCCUAUCGGGGUUACCUCCUCAAUAUGAGCCACUUGUACAUACUCUCAAGUAUGGAAUGGGCAAAGAUACCUUGACAUUGCGGGAGGUAACCACAUCAGCCUAUACAAAGGAGGUGGAGCUAAGGCAGAAAGGUCUGCUAAACAAAGGAAAAUCUAGUUCAGAGGGUUUUUUUUGUUGAAGGCAGAGGAAGGUCAGAAAAGAGGAAUGAUCAGGGCAAUUGUGGAAGGAACACAAGCAGGGGAAGGUCUAAGUCUAAAGAUCCUAAGAAAAGGGCUUGUUGGAUCUGCGGAGAUGAGAACCACUGGAAGAGAGAUUGUCCACAGAGGAAGAAAGGAGGCCACUCGAAUAAACCUCAAAGUACUGGAAACGUAGCUACAGCAGUCUCCGAACCCAUUGCUCUAACAGAAAGUCUCGUAGCUUCAGAGGAGCAAUGGAUAAUGGACUCAGGGUGUACAUUCCAUAUUACGCCAAAGAAAGUGCUACUGUCAGACCUGAAAGAGUUCGAAGGUAAUAAGGUUCUUAUGGGGAAUAACACCUACUGUAUGGUAAAGGGUAUGGGGAAGAUUACCAUUGAUAACCCAGACCGAACCGUGGUGAUUCUCAAAGACGUGAGAUACAUUCUUGACAUGGGAAGGAAUCUCAUAUCAUACGGCCAAUUGGAACAAGCAGGAUGUUCCUACAGUGGGAAAGAUCGUGUAGUUGAGUUCUACAAAGGAGGGAAGAAAGUCUUGGCUGGAAAAUAUCAAGAAGGCCUCUACUACCUUCAGGGAAGUGUUAGACCUGCACAAGCAAAUGCAGUAAAACCAUCAGAAGAUAUUACUAAGGUCUGGCACAAGAGAUUAGCACAUCUAAAUCAGAAAUCCAUGGAGAUGUUAGCAAAGAAGGGAUAUUUGAAGAAGGAAGAGGUGCAAAAUCUCGGACUCUGUGAGGCCUGUACUCUCGGAAAGUCUCACAAACAAAGUUUUCCCAAGGCUAAACACACUACUCAAGGGAUAUUAGUGUAUGUGCACUCUGAUUUGUGGGGCUCACCAAAUAUUACCCCAAGCCUAUCAGGGGCUAGAUACUUCAUCACCUUUAUUGAUGAUUUUUCGAAGAAGGUCUGGAUUUAUUUCCUAAAGACUAAGGAUGAGGCUUAUCAACGAUUUGCAGAAUGAAAAGUGUUGGUAGAAAACCAAACAGGUAAAAAGCUGAAAUGUCUUUGCACAGACAAUGGUCUGGAGUUCUGCAAUGCUAAAUUUGAUAAGCUGUGUACAGAUUCAGGUGUUAAAAGACAUAAAACCUGCCCUUACACCCCCCAGCAAAACGGGGUUUCAGAGAGAAUGAAUCGUACUAUAAUGGAUAAAGUGAGAUGUAUGCUGGUCGAGACAGGGUUAAGAGGAAAGUUUUGGGCAGAAGCCGCUUCAACCGCUGUCUACAUUAUCAACAGAUCACCAGCGGCUUCGAUAAACUUUGAAGUCCCAGAGGCUAUAUGGACAGAUGGAAAUCCAGGAUAUAGUCAUCUCAAAAGUUUUGGGUGUGUAGCGUAUGUUCAUACUGUAAAAGACAAGAUAAGUCCGAGAGCUACUAAAGGAAUAUUUCUCGGGUAUGGACAAGGUACCAAAGGAUACAGAAUGUGGCUGUUGGAAGAUCAGAAAGUUGUGAUCAGAAAGGACGUCGUGUUUCAUGAGGAGGUGUUUUUUAAGGAUCUUGAUAGGUCAAGUGACGAGGAAGCACCGAUACAAAACACAAGGACUAAGAAGAAGGUGACAUUCAGCGAUGAAUUGGAGGAGUUCUUGGGGGAAAGAACUACAUCAAAACCAACCUCAAAUUCAGGUGGAGCAGACUCAGGUUAUGAAUCUUCAGAACCGGGACAGAAUGAAGAUUCAGGGACGUUAGAGGUUGAUUAUGAUGCUGCUGCUGGUACAGAAUCAGAGGUGGAACCUGAUACUGAUCAGGGUGUAGAGAACACGUCAGAGGACUUAAGUGAUUAUUUGCUCGCCAGGGAUCGUGUUCGAAGAGAAAUAAGACCACCAUCAAAAUUUGAGGACGCAGAUUUUCUAGCCUAUGCACUAUCAAGUUCAGAGAUAGUGGACAUUGAUGAACCAAAGUCAUAUAUGGAGGCUCGGAAAAGCAAAGAUAAAGAUCUCUGGAAUGGGGCUAGUGAUGAGGAAAUGGAUUCUGUAGCCAAGAAUGACACGUGGAUACUUACGAAGAGACCAGAAAAACAGAAGGUUAUAGGCUGCAAAUGGAUUUAUAAACUCAAGCCGGGUAUACCAGGGGUUGAAGCACCAAGAUAUAAAGCCCGUUUAGUUGCGAAGGGGUUUGCACAAACAGAAGGGGUUGACUAUAAUGAGGUGUUUGCUCCUGUGGUGAAACACGUGUCUAUACGACUACUGUUAUCAGCCGUGGUUCACCAGGAUAUGGAAAUGGAACAACUUGAUGUUAAAACGGCCUUUCUACAUGGAGUUUUACAGGAAAUAAUUUAUAUGAGUCAACCCGAAGGCUAUGUGGAGAAGGGUAAAGAGGAUCAUGUGUGUUUACUGAAGAAAUCUUUGUACGGACUGAAGCAAUCUCCUAGGGAAUGGAACUACAGGUUUCAUACAUUUAUGGUGAAGCAAAAGUACAAGAGAAGUGAAUAUGAUCCGUGUGUUUAUCUUAAAGGGUCCAAUUCAGAAGACAUGGUCUACUUACUCAUAUACGUGGAUGACAUGUUAAUAGCAUCUAAGAAAAUGGAUGUUAUUGACAAGUUGAAGACAUUGUUAAAGUCAGAGUUUGAAAUGAAGGAUUUAGGGGCUGCUCGGAAGAUUCUAGGAAUGGACAUUUUCAGAGACAGGAAGAAAGGUGUGUUGAGGCUUUCACAGAGUGAUUAUUUGGUUAAAGUCUUAAAAACUUUUAACAUGUGGGAGAGCAAGUCAGUUCAAACACCUCUAGGUCCUCAAUUCAAACUACAAAGCCUAAGUGAAAAGCAGGAGUUGGAGCAAUCAGAGUUUAUGAGUAACAUACCGUAUGCGAGUGCUGUUGGCAGCCUCAUGUAUGCCAUGGUAGGUUCCAGGCCGGAUCUUGCUUACGCAGUUGGACUAGUUUGCAGGUUCAUGGGAAAACCUGGUAAAGAUCAUUGGUUAGCUGUACAAUGGAUCAUGAGGUAUGUUAAAGGAGCGGCAGAGUUGAACUUAACUUUUACGAAAGGAUCAGACUUCAGGAUCAAGGGCUUUUGCGACUCAGACUUUGCAUCAGAUCUGGAUCGACGCAGGUCAAUUACAGGAUAUGUCUUCACUGUUGGAGGUAAUACAGUCAGCUGGAAAUCGGUUCUCCAGAAGGUUGUUGCUUUAUUUACAACGGAAGCGGAGUACAUGUCAUUAUCAGAGUCGGUCAGAGAAGCAUUAUGGUUAAAAGGGAUUUGUGAAGAAAUGGGAUUUGAACAAGAUGCAGUAGAGGUAAAUUGCGAUUCACAAAGUGAGAUUUAUUUGGCUAAGAACUAUAUGCAUCAUGAACAGACUAAGCAUGUUUCUGUGAAAUACCAUUUUAUUCGAGACUACAUCUCAGAUGGGGAAGUGAAAGUGUUGAAAAUUCACACAUCGGUUAAUCCGGCGGAUAUGCUUACUAAGGUCUUACCUGGAGAAAAGUUCGAAGGGUGCUUGAAGACCUUGAAGGUUGUCGACAUCUGAAGAUCGUCGAGGGUCGUCUCCAGUUCUAGGAGAUGACAAAGGGGGCCUCCGGGAUCCAAGCGGAGGGUGAGUGAGCUGAGUUCUGGUCCAUAAGGCUCAGUGGUAAGCUCGUUUCAGAUGGUGGAAGGUUGUUCUGUCAUUGGUGCCAGGAUCGGAUUUCACGGAGUAUUGUCGUGUUCAGACAUUAGGGUUGGUGAGACACGAACCAAGGUGGAGUUUUGUAGAAGAUGGUUCGAUCUCAAGUCAACCGGAGCUGAGUUAUUGAGCUUCGAGAAGUUAGGCCCAAUAACUCGAGCCAGACAGAAGCUGGGCCAGGAAAUUGGUAGGCCCAAGUGACUGUUUGGUCAAACAUAUAAGAGCAUGAGAAACGGAUAAGGUUCCGUUGUAACAAACUUUUAUCUUCUUCUUUCUCUGUUGUACUCUCGAUCAAUCACCAUUGACGAGAACUCUAAGCUUCUGUAAAACAACUCCGAGCCAUAGUGAAUUCCGGGAAUAAUCUUGAAGAGAGAUGUACCCUGGUUAAUAGGGGAACUCUAUAAACUUGCGUGUCGUAGUCUUUCUUUUCUCAUUGCUUACCAUCUUAAUCUGUGAGUCGCGACACAUCUUGAAAGAUACGAGCUGUGAGAGAGCGAGAUUGUACGAACGAUCAAGCGGGAAGGAUUGAGCUGGAUCUGCAACAUCUCUGUUUUUUUUAAAAAAAAAUUGUUAUUUCUAUUGUUGAAGUAGCCGGUCACUGCUUCUCUUUUCAAAGCUUAACAAAUUAUUGUUAUCCAGAGAUUAGCUGUAAUCUUUUAUUUAGGAACUUUCUCUGACUUAACAAGGAAUGUAAUUAAAUCUAAGAAAAAUUCAUGCUUUAUUCGACUCUUUUUAUUGUUGAUUUUUUCGGAUAGGGAGCUGAUAGUCAUGAAAGACGUAUUUGAAUCCGAAUAGUUCACUCUCUAGCCGCCUCAAACCAUUCAGAAGCUUCUUGUUAUACAAAUAGAUAAUCUGUGAUCGGCUUAAAACAAGACCUUAUAUUUUUCGGUCUAUAAUCAAUGAGGCUGGUGCACAAUCUUACACUCCCAUGUUCAAGAAUCCCAACUUUCUUCCUCCAGUUUUAUAUACUUCCUAGGAACAUAGCAUCAUCUCUCAUUUUUCAGACCAAAGUUGUUCACAAGUCAACUGUGUGUUUAGAGCAAUUUUGAUACUAUAAUUUAUCUCGUUCACGUCUGUAGUAUUACCAUUUACCACCAGCAAAGUCUGCACGAUUUUCUUUGGAAAAUGAAAGAUUUCGUAGUGAAUGUAUAUUGAUAGUCGCUGACUCCAAUAUGAAAAUUGUAAUUACUCUAUUCCAUAAAAAUCUCCUAACUUAGAACUCAACAUUAUCUCAACGUUCUUGAAAAUUGUAAUUACUCUAUUCCAUAAAAAUCUCCUAACAUAAAAAUCUCCUAAUAGUAGCAAAUACCAUUCCGGGAAAUGUUCUAACCAAAGCUCCGGCACCAGCGGAAGCAAAACUAACUCCAUGUUUUAAUGUUAUGUUCUUGGUAUUAUUGUAAAUGCUCUGUUUUGUUCUGAAUAUAGUAGCAAUUGCUCUGUUUCUAUUUACCCCCCUCGAUUUCAAUUCGGUGGCAAGCUUUUAGUCAAGCUGAAAAUUAGUCUUGAAACACAAGAAACUAGGAUUCUUAAAAAAAAACAAAAAAAAAAUUAUGAAGCCAAAUGCUUCACAAUAUUUACAUAACUAUUUAAUUGGGCGAAAGAUUGAGGUAGAACAAAAAAAAAACAAACACCCCGGAUUAUGAAUCUUAGGUUCAUGAUUUAGAAUUUGUAAAACUUGUACUAACGAUCGAGAGAACCCAAAAGUUAUAAGAUUAUAAAAAAAGAAACCAAAGGGGCAGCAUUUGGCUUUUUUUUUUUUUUUUGUUCAACGGCAUUGGGCUUUUACAUCGAUCAUUAAUAGCUUUGAUCAAAGCCGACGUUUUCCAAAAAUGGUCAAAAUAACGAAUAAAAUAUCAUGGGAAAUUGUAAAAACAGAUAAGUCUCUUCUCAGAGAUGUAUAAAAGAAAGCCCUAAAGAGAAAGAGAUAAAGAGAGAAAGUGAAGUUUUUUUUGCAAUGCAGAUUUCUAUCAAGACGUUAAAGGGAAAGAGCAUAAACCUCGAGGUUGAAGAUAGCUCCAACACUAUCGACCUCAAGAUCCAUGGGGAGCCGAU
rnacentral:lncRNA from 1 species